AACGAACGCUGGCGGCAUGCCUAACACAUGCAAGUCGAACGAGACCUUCGGGUCUAGUGGCGCACGGGUGCGUAACGCGUGGGAAUCUGCCCUUCGGUUGGGAAUAACUGAGAGAAAUUUCAGCUAAUACCUUAUAAUGUCUUCGGACCAAAGAUUUAUCGCCGAGGGAUGAGCCCGCGUAGGAUUAGGUAGUUGGUGGGGUAAUGGCCUACCAAGCCGACGAUCCUUAGCUUGUCUGAGAGGAUGAUCAGCCACACUGGGACUGAGACACGGCCCAGACUCCUACGGGAGGCAGCAGUGGGGAAUAUUGGACAAUGGGCGAAAGCCUGAUCCAGCAAUGCCGCGUGAGUGAUGAAGGCCUUAGGGUUGUAAAGCUCUUUUACCCGGGAUGAUAAUGACAGUACCGGGAGAAUAAGCGCCGGCUAACUCCGUG
rnacentral:rRNA from 1 species